ensembl:lncRNA
CAGCGCCCCCUCCCCACCUCGCGCACUCGCGCGCCAGACAGCCCUGUGAUCCAAUGGCGUUGCGGCGCCCCGACUUCCGCAGCCAAUCAGAGGACGUUGGCCUCACCGCGCCCCUCCUCCGUGCUGAGGACCGGGGCGAGGGGCUGAGGCUCGACCGCGGCUGUCGCCCGAGGGCGACCGAGAGUCAUGCUCGCUGGUGGGGGCGUGUGAGGGCGGCUUUGCCUCCGCCUCUGCUCACUUCCUUUCUCAGGAAUGGUGGGCGCCGUCCCCACCCCUCACUGGCAGUGACGGUGGACAACAAAGGGGCUCGGGGUGGCGGCCAGACAAAGAGGGGGACUUGGAGGGUUGCAGCGCCGGGGGAAGUUGGGAACAAAGCUAGGGGGCUGGGAGCUACAGGGAGACGCACUACAAGAAACCAAAAGCAGAAAGUGCCUUUGUCUCCCUUGCUGCCCAAACUUGCGGAAAUCCGGGUGGUCCUGUCUCACCCGCCGCCCACCUGGGCCUGAUCGGCCACGCUGGGACGAUGCCCUCACCGCGCAACCAGCCGAGAGGGAAACAGGUCGGACCUGGGCAGCGCCCGAGGGAAAGCCUGGGUAGCCAGCGGCCAGCAUUUAAAGGCCCCGCCUCCUCAAAGGAAAGGCUGCUGACUCCUUUAAUUGAGACCUGACUCCGGUUUUAACCUGUCAGCCCUGGACCUAAGGAAAGCAGGCAAAAGUAAUGGUGAGAAGUCAGAAGAGGACUGCAAUCAAAGUGCUACUUCGGGAUGAUGGAAUUAAGCAUUUCAACAAAUCUUCCAGUAGCGAUGCUCACUUUAAAUAGAGGGGAAAGUGGGGCAGUGAACAAGAGGUAUGCAUAACUAAACAUACAUGCACUCUGGUUAACCAUUAUCUCAGUUCUAGUCCUGUAAAAUGGCCCUAGAUAAGUCCUUAUUGCUUGGUAGGACAAUCAGGUCACUUUAGGGUCCUGACAGGCAGACACUUUUUAGGAGGUCUGGAACAAGACAUUGUAAAAGUUGACAAUUUAUUGUGCCUUCAUCCUUGAGUGGAAAUGAAAGAAUUGUUGCCACUUUUAGAUAUUCUCUGGUAUUAGCAUACUUACCUGUAGCUGACCUCAAGUAAAGGAGCCAGAUACAAAGUGAAGGGAAUGGUGCCAGGCUUCCCUCCUGCUUCCAGCUUCCUUGUGAGCCAAGAGAGGAAUAAGUACUUUUUAGUAGAAACUUUUAGGUACCUGUUAUAACUUUAUGAAAUUAUUUAUUUUAAUAUCUAGGAUCGGAAAGAUUUGAGCCAUCUGAGAAAUUUUAUGUCAAGAGUAUAGGUCAAAUAUCUUGGCCUAUUUAGUAACAGCUUAGAUUUUAGAGUCAACAGAUCUAGUUUUUGUUGGGUUUCGUGUUUUGUUUUAUUUUCUGUCUCCAUUUACUAGACAGCUUUGGAACCUUU